GCAUUAAUGGGGUAGUGGUAACCUGGGUCGUUGCCAUCGAGUUUCUGCUCGACCCGCCGGGGGUUCGAUUCCCCCUUAAUGCA